UGAACGCUGGCGGCGUGCCUAAAUACAUGCAAGUACGAACGAGGUGUCUUUUGUAGCAAUACGAAAGUAUCCUAGUGGCGAACGGGUGAGUAACGCGUUGGUGACCUACCCCAAAGUGUGGGAUAACAGUUCGAAAGAACUGCUAAUACCGCAUGUGGUUAUCGGGUUUAGAAACUGAUAACUAAAGGAGCAAUUCGCUUUGGGAGGGACCUGCGUCCCAUCAGCUAGUUGGUGAGGUAAUGGCUUACCAAGGCGACGAUCAGUAGUUGGUCUGAGAGGACGACCAGCCACACUGGGACUGAGACACGGCCCAGACUCCUACGGGAGGCAGCAGUGGGGAAUUUUGGACAAUGGGCGCAAGCCUGAUCCAGCAAUGCCGCGUGAGUGAAGAAGGCCUUCGGGUUGUAAAGCUCUUUCAGUUGAAAAGAAAAAGCCGUGACUAAUAAUCAUGGUUCAUGACGGUAUCAACAGAAGAAGCACCGGCUAACUACGUGCCAGCAGCCGCGGUAAUACGU
rnacentral:rRNA from 1 species